UGCCCAGCAACUCGUAUCCCUACCACCUCGUGUUACCGGCCGAAAACUAUGAGCAACCUUAGGAAAGAUCGGGUAACCAACCCCGGUGGGAACUUUGGUCAUAUCCUAACAGGGAAGG
rnacentral:ribozyme from 1 species